rnacentral:rRNA from 1 species
AGCCAGACUCCUACGGGAGGCAGCAGUGGGGAAUAUUGCACAAUGGGGGAAACCCUGAUGCAGCGACGCCGCGUGAGCGAUGAAGUAUUUCGGUAUGUAAAGCUCUAUCAGCAGGGAAGAAGAUGACGGUACCUGACUAAGAAGCCCCGGCUAACUACGUGCCAGCAGCCGCGGUAAUACGUAGGGGGCAAGCGUUAUCCGGAUUUACUGGGUGUAAAGGGAGCGUAGACGGCGAUGCAAGCCAGAUGUGAAAGCCCGGGGCUCAACCCCGGGACUGCAUUUGGAACUGUGUGGCUGGAGUGUCGGAGAGGCAGGCGGAAUUCCUAGUGUAGCGGUGAAAUGCGUAGAUAUUAGGAGGAACACCAGUGGCGAAGGCGGCCUGCUGGACGAUGACUGACGUUGAGGCUCGAAAGCGUGGGGAGCAAACAGGAUUAGAUACCCCAGUAC